AUCAUUAGAGUAAUUGCAAUAGGGAAAAUUGAGAACGAUCUAAUUUUAUUCGUUUUUCGGUUGAGAGGUUCAGGAAUAUCUUUGGAUUUCAAUAGCGAUCAAUUCUUUAAAAAUCAAUCGCAAAGUAAGUUUUUAAUUUGUAAAUCAGUAGUGUUUUUCUCGUUCCGAGAUAUAAACUGUAAUCAACUUAGUUCUUUUCACAACUUCACCACUGAUUUAAUGCCUAAAUAUCGAUUCAUUAACAAGAUGCGUGUAAGCAUCAAUUCAAUGUUUUCAUUAUAUUUGAGUGUGAUGACAUGCAACAUUGCCAAAGCCAAAGCCUAAGAACAGAAAAAUCAUUUGCCGAAGUAAAACAACGUUAGAUCAAUCGAAUGACCAUUGCAGCUACGAAUAAUUCAUGUUUUUUCCUCAUUACAUCAGUAAUGAGGGAUUUCAGGAGAAAUAAUCAACGGCCUCUCUGCGGACAUAAUCCUCUUGCCUGAAAAAAUUUUUUCCACCUCUUCCUGUGAAUUCACACGUUCUCGAAAUAUUUGCAUAAUUAAAAGGAACUUAAUUUUCUUAAAUAAACCACUUCGUAUUCAUGCAAUUAAUUCGAUAAUGAGUAACCCUAAGAGGACUGACUUUUACACUAGAAAAUUGUGUGGAUUAGCCGAGGAUUCCUUGAUAUCUCUCCCGAAGUUUCUCAUUGCACAGACACCGGAAAUUCGGUUCAAUUUAUAUUAUCAAGAAUUAUCUACUUAUUUUACUCCAGCAAAUAUUUUCCCUUACAGCAUCAAACUUAUUCAAUAAAUAAUUCAGUGAUGACGAACACUUAAAAAAAGAGUGUGAAUGACGGUGACGGAAAGGCGCAAUAUAAUCAAUAAUUGAGUAAAAAAAUGUGUGCCUGUAAAUUAUCGCAGGUGAAUGGUUGGCGGUACACAGAAGGCGAAAUAAAAAAAACCUCCCGACGAAGUGUCUCUUCCAUGCUUGACUCCAUUAUUACAUUAUUUCCCUCCUUUUGCUCUCGAUUCCUUCGUAACGACAUUUCAAAGUGAAUUGAAAGUCUCCAGAACAGUGGAGUGAAAUAAAUUUCCACCCCUUGGACAAUUGUACAUAAAAAAAGAUCACAAAAGAAAGGUAAAAUAGUACUCUCAUGCCAAGUGGAAAGCCAUGUCACUGUUUAUAAAAGAAACUCCCAUGGAGCCAUGCCCAUUCUUAUUCUUCUCUUGAUUUUUUUUUUCAUCUGUUAUAUGUUGUUCGUUUAAUCUCAAUAACGUGAAUUCUCAAUUUCUCAAGCCUGUCUUGGUUUUCCUUACAUGGAGGUAUGUUUGACCAGCUUAAUGGUAUUCUUUCCACUACCCGAAUCUUGGAUCGCCGUUACACCGGCCACAUUGGCCAUUUUUUGGUCGCAAUACGGCAAUGGAAACCGCCAACCGUAAAGACUAUAAACAUCGAUGAAAAGAGAAAAGGAAACAAAUUUUUUAUGGUAAAUUAAAUGGGAAUAACAAUAAAGUAUAUCAUGUAGGGAAACCUAAUUAGAGAACUAACAUACCAAACUGUAAAUGUUUCAUUUUAUGUAAGGGGAUGAAUGAAGGUGUAAAUUGUCAUUUGAGUAGCAAAGAGGAGAAAAAAGUUUCAGUUUUUAAGUCUCGAUUAACUGAUCUUAGACUCUGACAUUCUAUUUUUUAUAAAUCUAUCCUUGCACAGGUCUGAAAACCAAAACUUUUUCUCAGUGAGUGGAAAGUGGUAAAAUGAGUCGAAUAGAGCAUGCAACUGUUCAUUGAUAAGUGGAUGUAUCAGAUUUAAUAGACAAUAUCACGCAAUCUUCUUUGAAAUACUAGAAUUUUUUUGGAGAAUAUUUUGGAGAAAAUAUUUCUUCGUGUAGGGAAGAACAAACAUUCACUUUUUACCACUUUUCUCAUAAAAUAUUUUAUAUCCUGAGAAUAAGUCCAAACAUGAACAUUUAUUUUGACCACAUAAAGAGAACAUAUACAGUGGGAGGAUUGAAUGAAUCUACAUGUGAAAUUAAACGACUGUUUUCCUUGCUUCAGAAUCAUGUUAUUUCAGGUAGAAAAAUAGAAAAGAAUAAUUUGAGUAUUUUAAGUUGAGGUUUGAAAGCCCUGUGAUAUCCAAAAAGUAAGACAUUUUCGUGAGUUUUAUUGUUCUUUCCAUCGAAAUGACUUGAUUUAUUCUGACAGUGAUAUGCAUUCGAGAUAUCCCAGGAGUUUAAAACUUAGAAAAUAAAAAUUCGUCAUUUUUGAAACAACAUUUGUUCAUCAUCUCGUGGAAGCAUACACCAGUUCCAGAUUGUACAAUCAAACGUCCCUCAAUAUUAAUGAAGAGGAGAGUGGCAAAAAUAGGCGGCCGAAUCACUGCUGGCGCAGUUUACGGAAGAAAAUAAACCUUAUCAACUUAUUUUUACCGUCUUUUUUAUUCCAUUUUUUUUUUAUUUUUUCCCCACUCUCCCCUAAAAUAUUGAAAAAUAAGGAAACUUUAAAAGUUCAAAUAAACUCUUAUUUUUCAUAAAAAAUCAAUAGUUGAAAAAACAUGGAGAUGACUCACCUGCCGAGUUUUGCAUCCUCUUCAUCCACUGGUUUCCUCCGUGAUCGUUCGCACACAUAGAAAAUAAUGCCUGUAAAAAGUUCAUCGGAAUUCUGUGAGUCAGCAUCGACAAUUCUGAACAAUAAUUACUCAUAUUCAUCCGCAUCACUCACCUGUUUUAUGUGCACAACAGCAAAUAACGUCGAUAAUUACAAUUAUGAUGAAGAGAAUUGCAACGACUAUUCCAAUAACAGCAGCACUCGAGAUCUCGUGAUUGUAGAAUUCGGGUUUCGAUGGAUUUGCUUGAAAAAUAAAUGAAAAAUGUGAUUGUUAAUCGUUGAAAUAAUGGAUUGGCUUUUUCGCAUAGAUCGUUAGUGCGGAUAAGCGAUAUUAAAAAAUAUUUGGUGGUGAUCCACAGAGAGACUAAACUAAUUUUUACAAUGAGAGCCGGAUAUUUUUGAUAUAGUUGGAAGAUCGCCUGGUCGAAAAAACAUGCGCUAAUUCAGACACUUGCAUAUUUUUGCAUUUACAAACACGAAUUUGACAAAUCUAAUUUCACACAUUUUUGUACUCCAUAAACAAUGACCAUUGUUCAAACAAUUUCAGGAAUAGGACCCCAAUGGUAAUCUGGACCACAUAUUCAAUAUUAUUAACAAAUGACUUAUGCAAGAGACGAGAACAUAUUUCAAAAAACGUUCUGCAAUAUGUCAUACACAUGUGUUGAACCUUUUUAUGCAACUGCUUCUUACUCUUGCAUAAUUAAUUUUAUGUCUGUUGUAGCAUGAAAAUAAAAUUUCGUGAAGCUCUCCCAAAAUCAUCAGGAGAUCUUCACGAUCUUCACGAUCACAAAAUUGUAUGAAAUUAUUCCGUUGAAAAUAUUCAAAAUAUUCUUAUUAAUUUUUUCUUAAUCCUGAAAACUUCCCAAAAAUUGUGAAACGUACUGGUACAUUCAUCUCAUCUCCCGAAGAACUACAAAUUCAUGAACCAAUAUAUUAGAACACCACCAAACAUAAGAUCAGUGAUUAUUAAUACCUGAAAAGGGAAGGGGUUAUUGGGAAAUACAAAAAAUCCGUUCUUAUCCAAAACAAAAGCACAACAAAAUCAAUCACUACUAGAGUUCAAAAGAGGUAUUAGUGCGCCACAGUUAAUAAACAUAAUUAACAAAAUAUAAAGUUAGCAUAAAACAAUCCAAAAGGGUGUUUAACACAGUCGAAGCAUGAAUACAGUGCAAAUUAAAUGAAUAGCGUUAAAAAAUCAUUAAAUUGUUAAAGAAGCCCAGACAGCACCAUUUCCUCUCGAUAUUUACUGUUAGUCUAUCCGGCAACUACUCUACAUAACAAUUUAUUUAAUGUGAUUUUGUCUACCCGUUUUAUUUAAUCCCAUGUCCAUUAUUAUCAUUAUUAUUGUUUAUUAUUCAUGAAUCAUCUCCAAGUCCAGAUGUGAUGAGGCCACUCAACAACAAUUCGUCCAUUAGUGUGAUUGUAUAGUUACCAUUUUUCUCAAUUUAUCUUUCUCAGAUAUUUAUCCUGUUCUUUUUCUUUUUCCGAUUUUUUUUUUCUAUGCUGCUCGUUCACUGAAGGGUUUAUAUUUCCCCCUGACGACGUAAUGGACAAGCAAAAAUAAGCGAGACAGCCACGAAAAGAAACCAUCUCAAAUUGAAUGAAAACAAGGUUUUUUCUCUUUUCAUUUUGCCAUUGAUUUUUACGUCGAUUUUAUCCGCUGAAAUAGGAAUUUUUGAUACAAGCCAAAUAUUGAAGGAGACUGUUUGUUUAUUAAACAAUUUGAAAUUGGCUUCCCCACUGGCAAUAACAUCGUGCACUUUUUGACACUUAUUGUAUAUUUAUCUUCUUUUUUUCUUUUAUCGUUGUUAAUGUAUGUACAAUAAUAUAAUGUUUUAUGUUCUCCUUUUUUGUGAACAUGAAAGAAAAAAUAGGAGUGAGAAAACUAUCUUCAAAAUGAAACCCUCAUUCUCAUAAAUAAGAGCGUUUUUUUAAAAACACCUUUAUGCAUACAUACAUAACAUCUACAUGUAUAAUAAUAUUUAUGUAUAAUAGGCUUGAGUUACAGAGGAGAAAUAAAAUGAAAAUUAUGGAUAUUAUGAACGGCGAGUUGUUUUUUCUCUUUUCUGAAUGGAUGCAUAUGCGGUGUGUUAUCAAGAUGAGAGUAAAACGGUGAAAAGGGUUGAGUUGGUCUUUUGGUGGUUCUUUGACUUUUUCUCUCCUUUGAUGGUGUUAUUUUUCUCGAGAAAGUAUUAAUAUGGUUAGAGAUCAAAGGUUGAAUGUUGUAUUAAAGGGAGAAAUAAUUUCUUUUCAUCCAGCGAAGGGAUCAUUUGAGGAGGGACCAUUGACGUCUGGGGAGUGAAUUAAUGAGGUAGUCAUUAAAUCUGACAAUUCGAGUGAUGAUAAUAUUUAUAAGGGGAAGGUCAUUUUUCGGAAGAUAUGGACCCGGGGGACAUAAGGGAAUUCGUAAUGAGCUUUUCGUAGUUCACGAUUUCUUUUCCAAGAAUAGAGAAGAUUUUGAUGACAAUGCAGACGUUUCGCGCGAAGUCUAUUUAAGAAAUCAGUGCAAAAUCAAUUGGGUUAAAUAUUUUCUUAGCAUAAAAGACUUCUAAGACUGUUUAAGACAGUCGAAUAAUGUUUUCUUCGGGGUUUUUAAACGAAGGGCCUUAAUGGACAGAUAAGAAAUUCUUGAUAUUGAAAAAACUGGAUUGAGAAAUCCAUGGAAAGCUCUCAAAUUUCCCUCUCUCAAUAUCAAUUAAUUAGUUACCAAAAUCAAUUAAUCAGUCACCCAGUCUGCGCCAAAUGCUCUCUAUCCACCAAAAUCCCAUCUAUUCCAAAAUCAAAUUAAUUUGAUGGUUGAGGCCAUUAGAUUCAACGAUUUGACCGAUGAUAAUAUCUCCUAGUGCCAAGAUUCUCUUUUGCAUCGUAUUCCUACCCCACAUCUAAAAUUGGAUGCGACUAUUUAUACACGUAAAAGUAACGUACCACGAUGUACACAGAAUGUACUGUGAGCCCUAGUGGAUUUUUCAUUGUGGAAGAAAACAAUCGAAACUGCACUACCCGAAAACGAAACGAAAAAAAAACCGUGAAAUAGUCACAGAAACUGGGAUUCCACAAUGUUUUUUACACUUUUCCUUGGCUCUCUGUUUGUUCUACCUCUUCCUCGGUCGUCAUUAACGGCUCGGCGGGUGGUGGUGGAGGUGGUGGGUGGUUUAGGGAUAAAAAAAUCGGCCAUUGUCAAACGCGCAAACGCUUCCCGAGCAUAAACGCAAAACCCUUUCAACCCUUUUCCUCGUUUUUCUUUCCUUCUCUGCUUUUUCCUGUUCAUUUCUGUUUUUUUUUUCUACUUUUCACUUUUUAUAUCGUAUACUUCUUCCUCAGUUACCGCGUUUGACUGUAAUUGCGCGAGGUACCAUAAUAAACAAACCCCUUCGCUAUGGCUAAAUGCAUUCUCCGAGUCUUUCAUUAGUAUUUAUAAAUCAAAUAUUUUUAAUCUGUUGGCUCGGUUGUAUAAGGUUCCUCAAUGCGUCCGUAGAUGAAUCGACUAAAAAGGUGAAUAUGAGUAG